rnacentral:lncRNA from 1 species
CUGACCCAGGCCCAAUUCAUCUUCUCCUCUAAAUGAGCAAGAACAAUCCUUCACCAGGUAUAACCUCAGCCAAAUCGUGACAACCUCAUCCAUCAAUAAUCAGCUCCAAACAACCAAUAUCCAAAAACCCAAAUCCAUCAGCAGCGACCUGAACAAUAAAAUCCCUAGAAACAAUAGGCGAUUCAACCCCAUCAGAAAUCGACAAAAAAUCUAAUCCCCAGUUCAAACUAUUUCAGUAGUGACCCAAACCUGAACAAGUUUGUUUUUGCCCAAAAGUCUCCAUUUUGCUCGAAUUUGUACAUCCUCAUAUGAAUAUCAUGAUUUGUUAUUCAAAUCACUCUCGAAUUCUCUAGGAACAUAGUUAGGUGUCUUCAUUCAAAGUCUACCUAUACAAAUCUUGGGAUAAUUCAUAUAAUUUCAUACACAGUUGGGUGAUUUUUAUUGGUUCUUGAGUAUAAUUUGUUUUGAUCAAAAGACAUUAGUCCACCCAUUUCGAAAAGAGGUGAAAAAUCCAAAAUGGAGUACCAUUUUGCUGAUGAAAACCGAAGCAGGGGAUGGAAAUUUCAAAUUUCAAAAUCUCCUUUGAAAAUCCCCAAUUUACCCUCAAUUCGUCUUCUAUAUAAAGACCCUUGGGGUCACUAUUUUUGGGGGUCUUUUUUCUCUUCUUUCAGGGGGUUUUUGGUUUGGAAAUUGGAGUUGGAGAUUCUAGAGUUGAAACUAGGUUUCAAAAUUUUGGGUUGAAAAUUUUGGGGGUUUUCAGAAAAACUAAGGAAGAAAAGGAGUUGGAACAUUUCUGAGAGAAUCUCUGGUUCAGAAAAACUUAGAGAGAUGAGAAAAGAAAAAAGACAGAUUCUUGAAAAAUUCAGUGUCAAAUAGAAAUUCUGUUCUUGAUUCAAAAGUUUGUUAGCUAAAUUAGAGUGUCGAGUUGAUGGCAAAAAAGAUUUUCGGUGGUCGUGAUCUCCGUACUAGUUCGUCAUCUCAUUUUUCUGCCCCGAAGGAGGUAAAAACACUCUCUCCCUCUUUAAUUUUGUUUACUCUUUUAUCCCUUUUCUCCGUAGAAUCAGUUAGUUUCUUAAUCGUAAUCGUGAAUAAGGCUGGAGUUUGUCGCUGUAGAAACCUUUGAUGGCCUUAGGAAUUGUUUGUGAUCGUUGUGGUUAUGCUAUUCUACUGAAUCAUUGUUUAUCCCAUGAUGUGGUGUUUUGAGCAUAUUUCUGUGGUGAUAUAUGGAUUAGAUAAAGCUUCCUUAAUCUCUAAGUUGCGGUUUUUCCCUGAUUCAUUGUAUCCUGAGUUAAAGACCCCGUUGUGGAUACACUAUUUAAGGCGUUGUGGUCGUUUGAUAAACUUUGUGGUAUAAUUUUGAAUACUGCUUCUUCUCCCUUAUCGGCAUUUACUGGUUUCUGAUUUUCAACUCUAUUUCAUAAUAGGAUCAAAUUUUAACCCAUGAUUUUCGUCCAAACGUUUCAUGUUCUGGUGGUUGCAUUCUUGGCAUGUUAGUCUGAUAAUAUUCAUAGGUUAAUAUGUUGUUAUGUCGACUUAUGAUACAUUGUAGUCCUUUCACUCAUCAUACUGGUAGUAUAAAUGUUAUUUGUUGUGAUUAAGGCUCGUGGUUUCGUCCAAGUUUUACCAAUCUACAGUUAACCCAUUGUGUGUUUAUCCAAGAUAAUGACUUCCAUGUUAUGAGAUUUUUCAACUUAUAGUUAAUCUACAGUUAACUUAUGUUAUCCUGGAAAUUUAGUUGUAACAAUCUGUUUCUUGAUUCUAGUCAACUUGUGCUAAGUUUCCCAUAAUUAGUACCAUAACCCUGAAAACAGUGUUUGGAAUUUGCAUUAGCUCUGCAUGUAAUUCGAUGUCACUAGCUACUUCGAGUUUUAUUAUGAGCGAUGGAAUUAUUUUUCUUAUGAGUCUUUGUUCUGCAUCUUGUCCACUCUCUUUAUUCUGAAUCAACUAUCUAAUCAAAUAAUUGUUAGAGGAGAUUUCUUUAAUAAAAAUAUUGCAUAGGGAGAAAACUUUAUCUAUGUAUAAGAAUCUGAGGUUGAAUCAAAAUAUAAGAAAAUACGGUAAAAGAGAAUUAAGCUGCAUUCUUACCCUGCCUUUUUCACUCAUAUUUUGAUGUUUAAAUUCAUGUUCGUCCUCUAUAAAGUUCCUGUGUGGCCUUAAAAUAUUGCUUGACUUUAUUCGUCCUCUAUAAAGCUGCAUUCUUACCCAGCCUUUUUCACUCAUCUUUGUUUUCUUUAAAUUUGAAUCUCUUCGAGGGCUGUAUAUGUUUUCUUCAGUUUCAUUAAUAGUUCUCUUUUGUGUGUGAUUAUCUAUCUCCAACGUAAUCAACUACUAAAUUAUCAUAUAUCCGUAUGUACUAAUCCAUAUAUUUUUCCCCUUUCUUUUUCAUGAACCCACCUCGAAGUCCAAACGGACUCUAUGCUCAUUAGUGCAUUAUCAAAGUGGGCCAUUGAGGCCAAUCCCUCAUGAGUCAAUUUCAAAGGUCCUCUAGAAAUUAAUCUCGUAAUGCACGGAUACGAAAAGUCGAAAGAGGGAAAAUGGAUUAAAGCCCCACAUUUGAAGCAACCAAGAAACUUGAAUGUCUUAGUUUCCAUUUCAUUUAUUUAUUUAUUUAAGUCAUUUAUUAUUGUUGUCUUUAUUUUUUAGUUAUUUAUUUUUAAUCAUUCAUAUGGGCCAAGAAGCCAAAGUUGUAUUUAGUACAGGUGGAGCAAGAUUCGAGUCAAAGGAUCAAAAACUAGAUUAGGACAGGUGAAAUAGGUCAAAGGCUCGAUUAGACUAGGACAGGUUUUGUUGGUUUGGGCCCAAUGACCUAAAUCGUUUACUUUCUCCUCCCUUUCCCCAUUUAUGUGUUUACUUUCUUAUUUCAUUUGUGUAGACUAAGUCAAAAUCCCUAUUAGGUCAUCUAAAACUGUUUUUACACAAAUCUUUUCAACAAAAUCAAUCACUUUUAAAAAACUAAACUUUUUUUUAGGUUAAUCAAAGACGAUUUUCAAACAAUCCGGAUAACCGCAAGUUAGCGGACAUUUUAGGUGCCUAACACCUUCCUAAAACUUUAAUAGGUACCUUUUAUCUAGAAUCUCUAACAUAAAAUUAUUUUCCUGUUAUGAAUCAUUUGAAGAAACUUUAUAAAGGUUUCUUAGUUCCUUUUCAAAAUUAAGUGGCGACACUUCAAAAAGUUAAAAUUUCAGAAAAAUAGAUGGUCCGUCACCCAGACCGUCAAUUUUGCCCGAAACAGUGCCGAAACAACAUUUUAAAGGGCUUUUUUGGUCUUUUCCCCCCCUUUUUAACCCCGAAUAACAUCAAAUCAAAGCAUAUAACUCCUCAUUCAUCCAUAAAAUCAAUAUUAGGGUUUCUUUCAAGAUCAAAAUCCAAGAACAAGAUUCAAACCCUUCUUCAAGAAAACUCAAGAAUCAAAACGUCACCAUUCAAAACCUUCAAGAAAAGUCAACCUCCUUUAAAAUUCAAGAUUUUGAGGUAUGUAAAGUGUUAAUUCAUGGGUUUAUUUCACUAAUGAAGCUCAAGAAUCCCAUUUUUAAACUCAAGAAUUGUGAUUCCCGUGUGGUGGGUUGAUUUUAAUUAUGUUGAUGUGGUUUUAUGAAUCCCAAGUUAGAGUCUUUAUGUACUUUUCAUAAAAUUAUGCUAGUAUAUGAGUUGAAAACUUUUAAUUGGAGUUGAUUAAUGUAACCAUGAUGUACGAACUAGAGUAUAUGCCUAAGCCUAAGGUUAUGCAUGUAAUGUGUUUGAUAAAAUGCCCAAAGAACAAGAAUCAUACUUUAGGACUCAAUUAUGACCAAAUUGAUGAACCCAUGCUUUACCCUUAUGUUCAAAAUGACUUCCAUGUUAUUUUUAUGCAUUGAAAUUGUUUGAUGGAUUGUUCAUGAGAUUAGCCUAUGAAAUUAUGACAUAUUUAUAUGCUUUCCUAUUCAUGUACCAAACCAUGAUAAUCAAGUUCCUCAUGAAAUUCCCUAAUGAUUGUAUUACGGAUUGUUGAUUAUGGUCGUGAGUCUAGGAAGUGUCAUGUCUUAUCAAUUUUAUGCUAUCAAGUUCUGAGGGUACUUGUACCCAACAAUUUAGCUAUGUGACUAGAGCCACUAUCAUUUUUUCAGGAUAUCUCAGUCAUGCCAUGUUUAGUAGAAUUUAGUUAGCCUCAUGACUCAGGAAAGCUCAGUAAUAUCAGUUAGUUAUCAGAUCUUAGUAAUAUUCUAUUGUUAAUGAAACUUAGUAACCUCAAUUAGUCAAUUCAGUUUAAUUAAUUCAGUGUCUAAUCAUAUGGGAGUAGGAUUUAGCACUUAGUGAGCCCAAGGAUGGGAACUCCCCUGUGAGUAAAGGGUGUGAUUCUUAGUAAACAUCCUUAUACUCUAGAACUACGUAGCCAGUAUAGGUUGAGACAUCUAAUCUGUUAGAUGAGGUGGCUUAACCUAUUAUAUGAGAGUCUCACCAUUCUCUUUAGAGUACCUAUUAGAUGAGGGAUCACUUACAGCUUGUCCUUACCAGUGGCGUGGUAUUGACACCUUUCUAAUUGGGGUUAUAGAUUGAACCCUAACUCUGCUAUAAUGCUUUAUUUGGGGCAUGUUGGGUAGAUGACUACUUCCCAUAGUUAUAGUGUCAGUCUCAGUAAUAAAAUUCAGAUAGUUCUACAGAAUUCAGGACUGUCAGUUACAAUCACCUAGUUCAGUGCGGAACUCAGCUAGUUUAUUCAGUAACAGAACUGUCAAACACAGUUAUUCAGAUAAUAGUAUUUCAGAUAUACAAACUUAUGUUAUCAGUAUUCAGAUUUAGUGAUGUCAUGAUCUUAAUUAUAGUUCACAUAUUCAUGUAUGUAUUCUCAUGUAUGUUAUUCAGUCAGUUAGUAUUUUUCAUGCAGAUAAACCCCUUACAUUUAGCCUACCUUACUUGCAUACCAGUACAUUCAAUCGUACUGAUGCAUUUGCGCUAUGGUGUUUUAUACCAUAGGCUAGAAGGAUGAGCUCCAGAGCAUCCUUAGUAGAUCAGUCAUUCAACAGACAAACUAGCAGUGAGUCCUCAUUAUUUGAGGAUGUUAUUAUUUGACUAUUUCAUUCUUUAGUACCUAGUUUGUUUCAGUAGUUGGAGUUAGUUGGGAGCAUGUCCCAUCAACUCCUUAUUCAGACAGUUUAGAGACUUUCAGACUAGCAUGUUCAGACAGUUAUUUCAGUUGUUUUGGUAUUGAUAUGCCAUAUCUCUAAAUGUUACGUUUUGUUAGAUUUUUGAACCUUAUGGCCUUUUAACCUUUUAUUGUGCACUUAUACAGUGUGUUAUGUAGUGCUUAGUUAUAGAUAUCAGUCAUGGGUUAACUUGUGGUCCUUUGUGGUCAUGAGUACCUUGUGGUAUUUUGGGUACCAGAUUCGGGGCAUUACAAACUUGCUAUUAAAGUCUAAGGUUCAACAGUAUCCUAGGAAGUCUGAAAGCCACAUCUAGUAGAGUCUUGUGCAUGGGUAUGUUGCAUGCCACAUUUAUGUAUAGGAGGCUAUAAAAUGUUUUAGGAAUAGUUUCCCUUCUUUCAGUAUUCAUGUUGUGCCAGUGAGCAUUAGCUCAAAUAUAACUCUCAGUCUAAUCCAUUUCUCCCUUUUAUUUAUAGAUCAUACCCCCCAAAAUGGUAAAUAAAAGGAGAACUGGUAGUCAGUCAGCACCACAGCCCGCCCAGGAAGAUUCCCUAGAUGAGCAUGUCAUUCAUGGAAAAUUUAGAAUCGACUCCCUUACUUUAUCUUACUCAAUAGUAGCUCAGAGAAAUCAGUAGGUUGAUGUCCCACCUAGGCAUAUGAUUC